rnacentral:siRNA from 1 species
UCAUCUAGAUGUCUCUAGGGU